AUCCUUUCUGGUUCAUAAAGCGUGAUGAUUGGGUGUUCAUGCUAUUGCGUGACAUGUGCCGCCCAUAAUCCUUGUUACGACGUGGGCACAUUACCCGUCUGACG